rnacentral:rRNA from 1 species
AAUAAGCUAAUUAAGAGCGUAAGGUGGAUGCCUUGGCUCUCAGAGGCGAUGAAGGACGUGAUAAGCUGCGAUAAGCUACGGGGAUUGGCACACACAAUUUGAUCCGUAGAUUUCCGAAUGGGGAAACCCACUAUAUUGAAGAUAUAGUAUCCGUUAAGGAAGCAAACCCAGGGAACUGAAACAUCUAAGUACCUGGAGGAAUAGAAAACAAAAGUGAUUCCGCUAGUAGUGGCGAGCGAACGCGGAUCAGCCCAAACCAAAAUUGUUUCGGCAAUUUUGGGGUUGUAGGACCAUGACAUUGAAUGUUUAAUGAAUUAGAAUUCUUUGGAAAAAGAAACCAUAGAGGGUGAUAGUCCCGUAUAAGUAAAGAGAA